rnacentral:rRNA from 1 species
GACGAACCGUGCAAACGUUAUUCGGAAUCACUGGGCUUAAAGGGCGCGUAGGCGGGCUGUCAAGUCAGAGGUGAAAUCCCACAGCUUAACUGUGGAAGUGCCCCUGAUACUGACGGCCUCGAGGGAGGUAGGGGCGUGUGGAACUUCCGGUGGAGCGAUGAAAUGCGUAGAUAUCGGAAGGAACGCCGGUGGCGAAAGCGACACGCUGGCCCUCUUCUGACGCUGAGGCGCGAAAGCCAGGGGAGCAAACGGG